CACACAGGCACGAUGUGUUGCUGGGUUUCUGUUACUGUUCUUCUUAUAACUUACUUGCAAUGUUGCCAGGCUCGAAGUUUGAACCAGCCUUCAUCACUGACCGUGUCUCUGGAACAGAAUGCUGAAAUCACCUGCACAGGCAGUGUUAGUGGUAAUAGUCUACGUUGGCACCAGCAGAAGCCUGGGAAAUCCCCAUGGUACCUUGGGUAUGACAGCAGCAAAGCCUCUGGAAUCCCUGAUCGUUUCUCUCUGACCAAAGACACUUCAGCUAAAAUCGCUAAACUAACCAUCUCUGGUGUUCAGGCAGAGGAUGAUGCUAAUUAUUACUGUAGCACAUGGGUCAGUGACCCUACUGUAUACACAGUGAUGCAGUAA